UUCCAAUUAACAAUCCUAACUCACACUGGUACCUAUCGGUUGUCAAUGCGAAAAAACGUGAGAUACAGGUACUCGACUCACGUGGUAGAACAGACCGGACUGAACUCAAUACUACGUUGAAAGGACUUAAGAAGCAUCUGGACAUUGCAUCCAAAAGGAAGGGGUUUAACAGAGGUGUGAAGUGGCAAGAUCUCGACGUUACAACAUGGCAAGUCGUAGAAGAGUUUCAGGAGGAUAUGCAGAGUGAUGGCUCAUCAUGCGGGCUGUUCAUGCUUAAUUACAUGGAAUAUUGGACAGGAGAAAUGAUGUCAGACAGUGUCACAC